rnacentral:rRNA from 1 species
AGAGUUUGAUCAUGGCUCAGAGUGAACGCUGGCGGCAGGCCUAAUACAUGCAAGUCGAACGGCAGCACAGCAGAGCUUGCUCUGUGGGUGGCGAGUGGCGGACGGGUGAGGAAUACGUGGGAAUCUGCCCAGCCGUGGGGGAUAACGUAGGGAAACUUACGCUAAUACCGCAUGCGCCUUCGGGGGAAAGCCGGGGACCUUCGGGCCUGGCGCGAUUGGAUGAGCCCACGUCGGAUUAGCUAGUUGGCGGGGUAAAGGCCCACCAAGGCGACGAUCCGUAGCUGGUCUGAGAGGAUGAUCAGCCACACUGGAACUGAGACACGGUCCAGACUCCUACGGGAGGCAGCAGUAGGGAAUAUUGGACAAUGGGCGCAAGCCUGAUCCAGCCAUGCCGCGUGAGUGAAGAAGGCCCUCGGGUUGUAAAGCUCUUUUGUCCGGAAAGAAAAGCGCCGGGUUAAUACCCUGGUGUCCUGACGGUACCGGAAGAAUAAGCACCGGCUAACUUCGUG